UGACCAGAAUUUCCACAGCUGUUGUAGCUGCAUGAUAACAGAUAACUUUUGACCGAAGCUUUCAGUGGACUGGACUAUCAUUUGAGUCCCUCUGAGUCUGCUGCAGCCAAGAUGAAAGUCGUUCAUCUUAUUUUUCUUGUUUUUGUGACAUCUACAGCUGCACAGGUGGUUCUAAACAGUGCCUGUACCCAGCCCAUGAGGAGGGACCGUGCGACGCUGUGUUUCUGCGCUAUUUCUACAACACGACGACCCACACGUGUCAAACUUUAUUUACGGCGGCUGUUCCCCUAAUGCCAACAACUUCCUGACGAUGCAAGACUGUCUUAACCACUGUGUUUACCCAGUGGGCUGAAAACAGCCAGUCUUUGGCAAAGUUUCAGCAUUCACAUGCUGUUUGUGGAAUUAAAACAAUAUAUUAAGCA